GGCUGGUCCGAAUGCAGUGGUGUUUACAACUAAUUGAUCACAACCAGUUACAGAUUUCUUUGUUCCUUCUCCACUCCCACGGCUUCACUUGACUAGCCUUUA
ensembl:misc_RNA Y_RNA Y RNA